GAUGAACGCUGGCGGCGUGCUUAACACAUGCAAGUCGAACGAAGCUCCUAAGUUUGCGAUUUCGGUCAAGAACGAGGGAAGACUUAGUGGCGGACGGGUGAGUAAUGCGUGAGCAACCUGCCCUUCGGAGGGGGACAACAGUUGGAAACGACUGCUAAUACCGCAUAAUGUGCAGAAACCGCAUGGUUUUUGUACCAAAGAUUUAUCGCCGAGGGAUGGGCUCACGUCUGAUUAGCUAGUUGGUGAGGUAACGGCUCACCAAGGCUGCGAUCAGUAGCCGGACUGAGAGGUUGACCGGCCACAUUGGGACUGAGAUACGGCCCAGACUCCUACGGGAGGCAGCAGUGGGGAAUAUUGGGCAAUGGGCGCAAGCCUGACCCAGCAACGCCGCGUGAAGGAAGAAGGCUUUCGGGUUGUAAACUUCUUUUUUGGGGGACGAAAAAAAUGACGGUACCCCAAGAAUAAGCUCCGGCUAACUACGUGCCAGCAGCCGCAGUAAAAC
rnacentral:rRNA from 1 species